UAAAGGUGCGGCGCGAAAACAUCUACACUAAAUCAAAAUGGAAUAUUCACUGCCUGUUGGAUCCCAGUUUUAGUAUUGCAGGGGUUGUUCUGAAGGCUUUACAGUAUAACCAAUCCCUGUAUUUCUGAUAGAUCGCUGAUUAAAAUAUGGAUAAAAAUUACCAUAUAGUAGCAGGAAAUGAUACUCCAGCGGGUGCAGGAAGUCGAAGUACAGGUUACCCAGAGAGGGUCUUGUUCAAAUGGAAUGCCCGCCCACCUGAGAAAACAACUGCGCCAAUCGAUUUACUCUCGUUCAGCCGUGGCAAAGCACCAAAAACCAGCAGUUAUCCGGCCAAGCAUGUGAUUCAAACGCCAUGAUAGCAUACUGGUACUAAUUUACCUAUAGGUUGUAUUGUUCUGUUAAGAGUAAGGUUUGUUUUGGUUCUAUUGAAACUGAUAUUUUUGAUGUUGAACAAGGUGUAAAGCAGGGAUGCCCCUAUACUAUUUAAUAUGUUUAUGAAUGAAUUUACCAAAAUUCUAAAGUCAAAUGGCCUUGGCACUAGAAUUAAUUAUGAAUGGGUUGGAAGUCUGUUUUGGGCUGACGACAUUGUGUUGCUAGCCAACAAUGAAAACGAGAUGAAAAAAAUGUUAGAACUUGCUGGACAGUUUGCAAAAGAGUGGAAAUUGAACUUUAACCUGGAGAAAUCAAAUUUUGAUUAUUGGGAAAAAUAUUGAUAAAGAUAAAAAAUGGAAAUUAGGAGAGGGUUAUAUUUCGGAAUCAAAUACUUACAAACACCUUGGUAUACAUAUAUCCAGAAAACUAAACGACCACUUUCAAUUUGAAAAUGUUAUUAAAAAAGGCCAUAGAUUAAUUGCUUAUAUUAAAUCAAUCAUUAAUAAUUUCGAUAAUUUCAAUAGAGUUUUUUACGGCGAUAUCUUGUGGCGCACAAAAGCGCUUCCAUCUAUUACUUACGGUUGUCCCGCAUGGUGUACCCUAAGUAAACUUGACAUAACUAAAAACUCAGGUCAAAUACCCUAACAUUAAAUGCCAGAACGUCUAAGUGGAAUGAAAAUAACAAUAUAAAAUGUUUAAUUUGUAAUUUAAAUGCGGAUGAAGACAUCCGUCAUUUUCUCUUUGACUGCCCAGCAUUACAUAAUGUACGUAUGGAGGAAAAUACUAAAUUACAAGUUCAUUUGGACUUAAUUGGUAACCAAGCUUUAUAUAAUGCUUAUCUAAAUGAAUGUAAUAACAAUAAACUUAAAUACCUUUUGGGCUGCUCAAGUUUUUCCCAUAGCAGAGAAAUUGAAGAUAUUUUUGAUAAAUGUUAUAAAAGUUACAUAAAAAAAGGCCUGGAAAUUUCGAAAUGAAAUAAUCAAUUCCAUACCCUAGUUCAUAUACCGUUUAUUUAUUCAAGUACAUUGUAUAUUUUUGUUCUUUUCUGCAUUGCUGUUCUUCCAACUUUGGUCAUUGCAAUAUUUUAGCUUAAUGUAAAUCUGUUGUUAACAUUAGUAAAUCUGUUGUUAACAUUAGAGUAAAAAACGGUGGCGAGUAUUUCAUCUAUUCUCUUUCAAAACUCAAUGCUUGUGGGUCAGGUUUUUGCGCAGGUAAUACAUCUUUAUUAUCAUAAAUAAAUAUUUGAAUACUAAUACUGUACUCGGUUUAUUCUAGAGAGUGAGCUGGCUUUGCUCGCUCACGCUUAGUAUGUGAACGUCGCGACAAGUUUUGAUAAGAAAAUAUAAGAUCAAUAAAAGUGUAUGUCAUGCCAAAAAACAAUGGUUUGAUAUGUUUUAUGAUUUACAAAGCAUGCUUUUCAGUUUUGUUCUAUAUGCCCUAUUGCAAAUCAUGGUGAGUUUAAUUAACAAAAGCGGUUUCCAAGGAAAAUGAUGGAGAGAAAUAAAAUAUUGUUCUAUACCAAUUAACACUAUUGUUCUUUCAUAUCAUUUUUAGUGGUUUCUAAAUAUUUUUCUGUAAUGAAAAAUGAUACGAUUGUGUUUGACGAAAAUCUUGCAUUAAAUUAAAAUGAUUUGCAAUAUGGCCUACAGUACAACAUAUUUUGGUCAGGGGCAGCUAUAGCAAAGUUUCACUGUAACUCAUUGAGAUACCGAAAACUGAGCGUGACGAAAAUCAAAUGUUUUUGUCAACCGACUGUGUUUGAAAAUCGACUGUGUAUAUAUGUUGCCUUAUAGGCAUUCAAUAUAUAAACACAAAACAACCAACUGAGACACGGCUACGGAAUGGAAGUAGGCAUCAACAGCAUGUGGUCGGAAACAGGUACCGGUCCAGUGAAAAACGUUGGUGAAUGUCAUUAUUUUCCCCACAAUUAAUCUGAAAUAUAGAUUGAUAUUUUCUUCUUGGAUCGAUGGUCCAAGUUUUCAAGACCGUAGGUUUUGAUUCCCAGACGUUCAUUUUGCAUUGUGUCUAUUAUCAUCAUUAUUAUCAUUAAAUACUGCAAUUUAUGAGUACUUGGCUCUUCUUCCAUUAUUCUCCAAAAUCCAUCAUAUUUUGUUUAACUACUUCUCUCCUAGCCAUGACAUAGUCAUCUCUUGUUCCUUUGGUUCCACUUUCUAACCAUAUUCUUAAUUUAUUUGUCUUCUCUUUCACUGAUUUUCUGACUUCUUCUGUCCACCGUGUUGUGUGCUCUUUCCUAUCUCCUAUUGCGUUUUGUUGUACGUUUUCUGCUGUUUCCUUAACAAACUUUACAAGCAGUUUUCCUUUGUUCCUAGGUCUGUUUUCUGAAGAUUGUCCUUCACUUUAGAAAUGUACAUGUUUUUUUUUGCUUUAUCUUAGUUUCUUCAAUCUAUUUACAGCCAGGUCAGCAAUUAGUAAUCUGUGAUCGGAGUCAAGUGUAUCUACUGCGAACAUGGAUAUAAAAAUAUAUCUCGAUAUAAAAAAAAUCUCGUCAAACUUUGAGAAGUUUUGAUUCCACCUAUACCUUGUAAAUCUUUGUGACCUUUGGUGCUGAACGAAACCGUUCAUAAUCUUUCAAUUGUUUAUAAAAUAAAAGUCGAUUCACCAAAGGGUCCCAAAACAUGUUCAAUUAAGGCUCUGCUGGUUCCUAUUCUGCCAUUAAAAUCCCCAGUAUUCAACCCUAUAACUGUAUCUUGUAUGUGAUAAUGAUGCUCUAAUUUCCUGUAGAAGCUUUCCUUAUCUUCAGUUGUAUGGCCUUGCUGAGGUGCUUGAUAGAUUUGGUACUUCCUUGUAUGCUGAGUGAGCAUUUCAUUAGUCUUUCACUUAUUAGGCUCACUUAUUGAAUGUUUGGCGGGAGUCACGUCCUACAAUCAUGGCUUCAUAAUUUCUUCUCCCUACGUCCGUCCAGCUGUAUCAGUACAAAACCUCCUACAAUGUCUUUGCCUUUUUCUUCACCGCGAUGUCUGGUUUCUCCGAGACCAAUACUGUCUAUUUUUCUUCUUCCCAUUAGAUCUAGAAUCUCAUUUUCUUUGUUUUUAUAAGUAGCAAUGUUGCACAAUCAACAUUGUGUUUUUGUGUUGAACGUUGUGUUUCCGUUAUCCUUAUUUCACUUGCAUUUC